rnacentral:sRNA from 1 species
AGCGCUGAAACAUAACAGCGUACCGGAAAGCCUUGUUAUGUGGAGCUUUCGAGAGGGGUUGUGCAGUGAAACCUCAAACCGGAGUAGGCUUCGGCCGAACGAAAAUGCUC